AGCGUAUAUUAAAGUUGUUGCAGUUAAAAAGCUCGUAGUUGAAUUUCGGGAUCAAUACGUCGGUCGUGCUUUCGGGUACGUACUGGCGUCAUUGGUUUCUCCUUUCUGACGAACCAUGAUGUCAUUAAUUUGGUGUUAUGGGGAGUUAGGACUGUUACUUUGAAAAAAUUAGAGUGUUUAAAGCAGGCAUUAGCUUGAAUACAUUAGCAUGGAAUAAUGAAAUAGGACGUUCGAUCUUAUUUUGUUGGUUUCUAGGAUCAACGUAAUGAUUAAUAGGGAUAGUUGGGGGCAUUAGUAUUCAAUUGUCAGAGGUGAAAUUCUUGGAUUUAUUGAAGACUAACUACUGCGAAAGCAUUUGCCAAGGAUGUUUUCAUUAAUCAAGAACGAAAGUUAGGGGAUCGAAGACGAUCAGAUACCGUCGUAGUCUUAACCAUAAACUAUGCCGACUAGGGAUCGGAUGAUGUUAAUUUUUUAAUGACUCAUUC
rnacentral:rRNA from 1 species